rnacentral:lncRNA from 1 species
AAUCAGAGUCCACAUAUGUUCGGGGGAGGGACCCCAGAAGGCGGCUGACAGUAUUCCUUUAGCCAGAAAUCCCUUCAGGGAAGAGAAAGUAUUUUCCAGAAAAUAUUUCAAGCAGAAUAUACUUAUUUUCCAGUUUUGAAAACAACUAGAUUGCCCAUCUCCAUUUCUCUCUAUCAUCUACUGUAUUAUUCUAUGGACAACUGCCACCCUAAUAAGGUCAAGAAGGGAAGCCAGAAGUCAAGGCCACAGAAGACACAGGAAACAUCAUUUCCAAAGUGGGAGACAAAGCUGUUAACAGGAAAUUAUUUGUAAAGUCAAGAGCCAAGCAAAACAGAAAAAGGACAAGAAAUCUAUCACCUGUGGGUAUGAAUGGUUCUAGGGAAGUCUGUUGACAAUUGGAGGGUCUCAAAGGCGCUUUAUGGUACUUAUUUUAUGACCCUGAGUCUGGAGUCUGAUGAAUUAAAGAGGAAAUUCUGCUCUGGGCAACAUUUAAGAGAUAGUAUCUCCAGGCAGUAACUUUCGUAUUAACUCUCAUAAGAUUGAUGCCAUUCUGUCAUCUAAAGUGUGGACAAAAGUAGCAUUAAAGCAAAAUGAAAGGAUAUACUAA